rnacentral:rRNA from 1 species
CCCCCAUCCCACAUCCAAGAAGGCAGCGGCGCGCAAACCUGAGAAACGGCUACCACAUCCAAGGAAGGCAGCAGGCGCGCAAAUCUCCCAAUCCUGACAGGGAGGUAGUGGCCAAAUAAAUAAUCAAUAUUCCGGGCCUCUUUUUAAGUUCUGGUAAUUGGGCAUGAGUAACAACUAAGACUCCUUUAGCGAGAAUCAUUGGAGGCAAGUCUGGUGCCAGCAGCCGCGGUAAUUCCAGCUCCAAUAGCGUAUAGCUGGUUGUCCCAAGAAGCCGCGGUAAUUCCAGCUCCAAUAGCGUAUAUUUAAGUUGUUGCAGUUGGCUACCACAUCCAAGGAAGGCAGCAGGCGCGCAAAUUACCCACUCCCGGCUCGGGGAGGUAGUGACGAAAGAUAACGAUACGGGACUCAUCCGAGGCCCCGUAAUCGGAAUGACUACACUUUAAAUCCUUUAAGGAGUAUCAAUUGGAGGGCAAGUCUGGUGCCAGCAGCCGCGGUUAUUUCCUCCCAAAUUGCUAUUAUUUUAAGUUUGCUUCCAGUAGUUGUUGCAGUUAAAAAGCUCGUAGUUGAAACUUGGGCCUGGCUGGCGGGUCCGCCUCACCGCGUGCACUCGUCCGGCCGGGCCUUCCUUCUGAAGAACCUCAUGCCCUUCACUGGGCGUGCUGGGGAAUCAGGACUUUUACUUUGAAAAAAUUAGAGUGUUCAAAGCAGGCCUUUGCUCGAAUACGUUAGCAUGGAAUAAUAAAAUAGGGCGUGCGUUUCUAUUUUGUUGGUUUCUAGAGACGCCGCAAUGAUUAACAGGAACAGUCGGGGGCAUCAGUAUUCAGUUGUCAGAGGUGAAAUUCUUGGAUUUACUGAAGACUAACUACUGCGAAAGCAUUUGCCAAGGAUGUUUUCAUUAAUCAGUGAACGAAAGUUAGGGGAUCGAAGACGAUCAGAUACCGUCGUAGUCUUAACCGUAAACUAUGCCGACUAGGGAUCGGGCGAUGUUCUUUUUCUGGACUCGCUCGGCACCUUACGAGAAAUCAAAGUUUUUGGGUUCUGGGGGGAUUAUGGUCGCAAGGCUGAAACUUAAAGAAAUUGACGGAAGGUCACCACCAGGCGUGGAGCCUGCGGCUUAAUUUGACCCAACACGGGGAAACUCACCAGGUCCAGAUGAAAUAAGGAUUGACAGAUUGAGAGCUCUUUCUUGAUUUUUCAGGUGGUGGUGCAUGGCCGUUCUUAGUUCGUGGGGUGACUUGUCUGCUUAAUUGCGAUAACGAGCGAGACCUUACUCUGCUAAAUAGCCAGGCUAACUUUGGUUGGUCGCCGGCUUCUUAGAGAGACUAUCAACUCAAGUUGCACCCGCAGCAGCUUUAGGGACUAGGCCGCUUGAGGCCAAGGAAGUUUGAGGCCAAAUAACAGGGUCUGUGAUGCCCUUAGUGUUCUGGGCCGGCGCACACGCGCUACCUGAAGGUCUGUGAUGCCCUUAGAUGUUCUGGGCCGCACGCGC